rnacentral:lncRNA from 1 species
AUGGAAGACGGAGGCAGCUCCCCGCCUGAUCUGAUCAAGGACCAUGGAGAACCCAGUCAUGUUCCCCUAGCCCCUGGCAGAGGAGUGCUGUUCCCUUCAUCGCUCCUUCCUCCCUGCUCUACCCUCCUCCCACCAGUCAUCCCCCCUUCACAGGAUGACCUGUGGCAGCUACCUGGAAGACUACGUGAGUCAAACACACACACACUUGUUGGCUAACAGCUCUGUGUAUGUAUGUAUGUAUGUAUGUAUGUGUGUGUGUGUGUGUGUGUGUGUGUGUGUGUGUGUGUGUAUGUAUGUAUGUAUGUAUAGUGGGGAGAACAACUAUUUGAUACACUGCCGAUUUUGCAGGUUUUCCUACUUCUGUUCCUAGGUCUGUAAUUUUUAUCAUAGGUACACUUCAACUGUGAGAGACGGAAUCAAAAACAAAAAUCCAGAAAAUCACAUUGUAUGAUUUUUAAGUUAUUAAUUUGCAUUUUAUUGCAUGACACAAGUAUUUGAUACAUCAGAAAAGCAGAACUUAAUAUUUGGUACAGAAACUCACCUAGAAAAGAAACAGAGAGAGAGGCUCAUACAGUACAUCACCUAGAAACGAGAGAGAGAGCUCAUACAACAUCACAUGAAAACAGAGAGAGGAGAGCUCAUACAGUACAUCACCUAGAAACAGAGAAAGGACUCAUACAACAUCACCUAGAACAAGAGAGAGAGGAGCUCUACAGUACAUCACCUAGAAACAGAGAGAGGACUCAUACAGUACAAAAAUCACGUAAAACAGAGAGAGGAACUCAUACAGUACAUCACCUAGAAACAGAGAGAGAGGAGCUCAUACAGUACAUCACCUAAGAAACAGAGAGAGCAGCUACAUACCGUACACUCCCAACCUAGGAAACAGAGAGAGGAGCUCAUACAGUACAUCAACUAGAAAGAGAGAGGAGCUCAUACAGUACAACAUCACCGAAAACAGAGAAGGAGCUCAUACAGUACAUCACCUAGAAACAGAGAGAGAGAUCAUACAGUACAUCACCUAGAAACAGAGAGAGAGCUGCAUACAGUACAAAUCACCUAAAAAAGAGAGAGAGGAGAUCAUACGAUAAUCACCUAGAAACAGAGAGAGGAGCUCAUACAGUAACCCUGAAACAGAGAGAGGAGCUCAUACAGUACAUCACCUAGAAACGAGAGGAGCUCAUACAGUACAUCAC